UGAGGAAUAUUGGUCAAUGGGCGAGAGCCUGAACCAGCCAAGUAGCGUGCAGGAUGACGGCCCUAUGGGUUGUAAACUGCUUUUAUGUGGGGAUAAAGUGCGUGACGUGUCAUGCAUUGCAGGUACCACAUGAAUAAGGACCGGCUAAUUCCGUGCCAGCAGCCGCGGUAAUACGGAAGGUUCGGGCGUUAUCCGGAUUUAUUGGGUUUAAAGGGAGCGUAGGCCGUUUGGUAAGCGUGUUGUGAAAUGUAGGAGCUCAACUUCUAGAUUGCAGCGCGAACUGUCAGACUUGAGUGCGCACAACGUAGGCGGAAUUCAUGGUGUAGCGGUGAAAUGCUUAGAUAUCAUGAAGAACUCCGAUUGCGAAGGCAGCUUACGGGAGCGCAACUGACGCUGAAGCUCGAAGGUGCGGGUAACGAACAGG
rnacentral:rRNA from 1 species